UCCACUAAAUCAUGUAUAUUCGAUCAAAUAUUUCAUAAAUCAUUUUCAUGUAGAUCAUACAAGAUACUUAAUUUAAACAAAAUCAAUUUAGAAACUAAAUCGUAUGCAUGAUCAUACAUACUAGGAGUAAAGGUAACUUACAACUUUUGCCCUAAAAUUUUGUGAAACUCACCAAUCAUGAAAGAUCGACCAAAAUCUUAAACAACUAAGUACUUUAUUAGAUUUCUAUAAAGCAUCAAGUACCCUAAUUAUCUC
rnacentral:lncRNA from 1 species